UCUAAGGAGACUGCCGGUGACAAACCGGAGGAAGUGGGGAUGACGUCAAGUCAUCAUGGCCCUUACGGCCUGGGCUACACACGUGCUACAAUGGUCGGUACAAAGGGUUGCCAAGCCGCGAGGUGGAGCUAAUCCCAUAAAACCGAUCGUAGUCCGGAUCGCAGUCUGCAACUCGACUGCGUGAAGUCGGAAUCGCUAGUAAUCGUGAAUCAGAAUGUCACGGUGAAUACGUUCCCGGGCCUU
rnacentral:rRNA from 1 species